rnacentral:rRNA from 1 species
UACGUAGGGUGCGAGCGUUAAUCGGAAUUACUGGGCGUAAAGCGCGCGCAGGCGGCUAUCCAAGUCAGUGGUGAAAGCCCGGAGCUCAACUCCGGAACUGCCAUUGAAACUGUUUAGCUUGAGGACGAGAGAGGUGAGUGGAAUUCCCAGUGUAGAGGUGAAAUUCGUAGAUAUUGGGAAGAACACCGGUGGCGAAGGCGGCUCACUGGCUCGUAUCUGACGCUCAGGCGCGACAGCGUGGGGAUCAAACAGG